UACGAAGGGGGCGAGCGUUGUUCGGAUUUACUGGGCGUAAAGAGCGCGCAGGCGGUCGUUCAAGUCGCGUGUGAAAGCCCCCGGCUCAACUGGGGAGGGUCACGCGAUACUGAUCGACUCGAAGGCAGGAGAGGGUAGUGGAAUUCCCGGUGUAGUGGUGAAAUGCGUAGAUAUCGGGAGGAACACCAGUGGCGAAGGCGACUACCUGGCCUGUUCUUGACGCUGAGGCGCGAAAGCUAGGGGAGCAAACGGG
rnacentral:rRNA from 1 species